GCCGGGGUGGCGGAAUGGCAGACGCAGUGGACUCAAAAUCCACCGAGGGCAACCUCGUGGGGGUUCGACCCCCCCUCCCGGCACCA
rnacentral:tRNA from 1 species